CUCAGACAGCCGAGCCAAGCGAGACGCUGGAUUUCCUUUGGCAUCAAGGAAAGCAUCGUGAGAUGUUCUGAUGCCCUCUCACAAUUCUUUCUCCCUCCACCAGCACCAGAGCUGGCGUCCAAAGACGCAAUGACACUGCCACAGGCAUUGUGGAGAUUUCUAUGGGAUAGGCCCACGGUAAGGCUUUAUUGACAGAGGGAGGGACAAUGAAGAUUGGAUGUCAGGGAGAAGGUCUUUCCAGAGACGGUGGUGAGAUGCUGGAAGCGGAUGCCCAGAGAGCUUGUGGACGCCGCGUCCGUGGCAGUGUUGAAGGCCAGCCAGCUCGAGUGGAGGUCUUGGAGCUCGUGGGCGCCCCAUGCCUGCAUCAGCGUGGGUAGGGUGUGCCCUUCCUGCGCGGUGGGGCUUUGGUGUCCGGGGGCUGACGCUGAGGAGACUGUGUUUCUUCGUUUAUCGGUGGCAGAAAUCCAGCUCUGUCAGCAGAGGACUCCUGCGGCUGGCUGGCCUCAGCCUGAGAUGUUGAUGCUUCCAUCUCCUCAGGUUCUUUCUGCCUGCUCUUCUUAGCCCUGCGCCUGAGAAGUCUGACUGAGUCACAUGCCAGAAGUGGAAGCCGGGAUGGAGUGCCUUGCGAUGCCUGUGACGGGCUGGACUGAGCCCUUGAGGAAGGUCUGGAAUCUUUGCUGAAAGAUUCAUUGGCUUUGGGCAACUUCAGCACUGCAGCCACACGAUGGGCUUUUUCCGCUUCCUGUUCUUCCUCACGGAAGCUCACGUGUUUGGUUCCUGGGGCUCGGCCCAGGUCUUCUUGGCUGUCUGUUUCUGCCUGGCCCUGCAGCUGGCAGGUCAGCGGCUGCUUUUGUUCUUCAGGCACUCCAGGGAUGGCUGGCAGCAGACUGAAAGGACAGAGCAGGAGGGGUCCGCCUGAGUGGAUGAUGGCUUUGGGGCCGCAUCCUGCAAGCCGGAGCCAGGACCCUUGGCUGCAACGCAGCCUUCCCCACAGACAGCUCACCGGCUGCCCCGUGGCUCUCCCCCGUGGGAUCCAGAAACAGGGACCCUUUGGGGCUAGGGAAUGGGCUCUCGUUGGCUCAGUCAAUCACCCCCAUGCACAUCCCAAGCCAGAGCCUCCAGCCUCACCUGGACGUAGAGCUCUCCUUGCGCAGUAAGCUCCUUAUCCUUCGGAGUUUUCCUCCAUCUAGACUGUCCGAGCUCAAGCGUUUGAUGAAAGUUGGCUUGCCAGCAAAUCUCACUGGGAUUGGGAAGGCAGAGGAGACUCACCAUCAACCCUUUGGCUCACUUACAAGGGGCGCUCAGGCCUGUUCCCAGAACAUGCGUGAGGGCCGCUCUGCUCCCCCCACUGCUGACAUCUGUGCCACCCGCGGACCCUCCCUGAAACCAUCUCUGGCCCCACUCCUCCUCUCUGCCAUCUUGGGACUCUCUUUUGGGAGUGCAUUAGUGACGCUGGCUUUGGGAAAGCGGAGCUGGGUGGUGACGAUGAGCUGACAGGGUGACUUUUGGGGACCAUAUCCUUCUGUUGGGGGAGGGCGGGGCCUGAGGUGCCGAGGUCCUCCUGCCAUAGCCAGGGAUGGGGGCACGUCACAGCCAGCGCCUUGGUUUUGGAGAGGCCAACAAUUCCUCGUGGGAAGAGGCUGUGCUGAGCUGGCAUGAAGCUUUGUCGCAAGUCAGAGCCCUUGGCUGAUGUUCAGCAAGGGAUUUCCCAUCUCAAGUUGGUGGCUUGUGCCCUGGAAAGGCGCUGGAUGCUGCUUUACCUUUCUUGCCCUGGGCGAGAGGUGGCAAAGCCUCCUCUUCCUUUGGUUUCCCCUCCGCAGGGAUGCCUCCUGAGGACCUGCGGGAUAUCCCAGGUGGUGGUUUGGGGACAAACUCCAUUUGAAACCUGUACGCGAGGAGACGACAGUGAGCGGUGGGACGCAGCGCUCCACCAAUCCUUGUUGCUCUCUCUGAUUGCCUGCUGACAGGCCCAUUUUCAUGCUGCAUGAUGGCCACUGC
ensembl:lncRNA